CCUACGGGAGGCAGCAGUGGGGAAUAUUGGACAAUGGACCGAGAGUCUGAUCCAGCAAUUCUGUGUGCACGAUGAAGUUUUUCGGAAUGUAAAGUGCUUUCAGUUGGGAAGAAAGAAAUGACGGUACCAACAGAAGAAGUGACGGCUAAAUACGUGCCAGCAGCCGCGGUAAUACGUAUGUCACGAGCGUUAUCCGGAUUUAUUGGGCGUAAAGCGCGUCUAGGUGGUUAUGUAAGUCUGAUGUGAAAAUGCAGGGCUCAACUCUGUAUUGCGUUGGAAACUGUGUAACUAGAGUACUGGAGAGGUAAGCGGAACUACAAGUGUAGAGGUGAAAUUCGUAGAUAUUUGUAGGAAUGCCGAUGGGGAAGCCAGCUUACUGGACAGAUACUGACGCUAAAGCGCGAAAGCGUGGGUAGCAAACAGGAUUAGAUACCCUUGUAGUC
rnacentral:rRNA from 1 species